AGUACAGACGAGUUUGAUCAUGGCUCAGGAUGAACGCUAGCGGCAGGCCUAACACAUGCAAGUCGAGGGGUAGAACACUUCGGUGUUUGAGACCGGCGCACGGGUGCGUAACGCGUAUGCAAUCUACCUUGUACAGGGGAAUAGCCCAGAGAAAUUUGGAUUAAUGCCCCAUAGUAUAUAACCUUCGCAUGUUGGUUAUAUUAAAGUUCCAACGGUACAAGAUGAGCAUGCGUCCCAUUAGUUAGUUGGUAAGGUAACGGCUUACCAAGACGAUGAUGGGUAGGGGUCCUGAGAGGGAGAUCCCCCACACUGGUACUGAGACACGGACCAGACUCCUACGGGAGGCAGCAGUGAGGAAUAUUGGUCAAUGGUCGCAAGACUGAACCAGCCAUGCCGCGUGCAGGAAGACGGUCCUAUGGAUUGUAAACUGCUUUUAUACAGGAAGAAACCCUCCCACGUGUGGGAGCUUGACGGUACUGUAGGAAUAAGGAUCGGCUAACUCCGUG
rnacentral:rRNA from 1 species